AGAAUUCCAUGUCUUUUGUAUUAAAGAAUUAAAUGGAUGAAAUAUGAAGUUUUAUUAAAAGAAAAAGGGGUGAAAAGAACAAAGUUUUGUCCAUCUUUGUUCAUCAUAGCUGAAAGUUAGAGAAGAGAAAGGAGAGGAGAAAGCUCUUGAGUAUUUGGUCAUUAGGAGGAGGAAAAUUGAAGGCGGUUCGUGUGUGGAUCUCGUCAGCAUAUCGUUGCAAACAGG